CUUUUAGAACACAACGGGGCGAAGGUGGCGAAUCCUCUUUAGCCGCCGUGAUCGCGCUGCCACGCAAGCGGCAUUUGAAAUGACAUUUAAAAGGCUAUUUUCAGCAGAAAGAGAAAUGCUGGUGUACCUUGUGACCCAAAUGGAGGAUGGCGCAACUACAAUACGGUAUUCGGUCACGGGCUGCCAGUCUGGCACUGAUGAUAUAAGCAGAAGCGUUUCAGGGCUGCUGACGGUGUCACAGUGGGCCAGCCAAUCAUCCGAGAGGUUCAGCGCUUUGUCUCUCCCUGUCAGGCCGGGGAGCCCCUCUUGUGAAUUAUGGGACAGAAGGCCUCAGCAGGAACUCCAGUCCGUGGCAUGAAAUGGGUUAAACCAUCUACAGGGUCAUUUGGGGAUCGGAAGGAGGCUGCCAAGGUCUGACAGGGGGUCCCAGGGGUCGUCUUUAAGUGCCAGUUAAAACACAUGUGAAACUAAGUACAAGACCCCGAUUUUUCCACUUUAUUUUGGUAUUAUAUAUACUUGGGGGAUUUUAUAUUAGGAAUGAGUUUAAAACUAAUGAUGUUUUGUCAUAUUUUAAAGAAGGAUUCAUGUCAGAAUUUUAAUAAUUCUUCUGAAAGACCCAUUAGUAUUUAAUCACAAUUAAAAUUUAUUUCUGAGUUUUCAAUCAGCUGAUGUGGGAGAAAUGUACACAAUUCUGAAUUUAUAGCUUCACACUUCAUAUUCUCACAUCACAGUUCACAUUUCAUGUUUCAUUCCUUUUUCAUUUUGUUUUUUAUUUUUCAAAUUCAAAUUUUAUUUGUCACAUACAUCAUCAUACAUAGAACAACCUACAGUGAAAUGCUUAUUGCAACUGCUCCAAUUAAAUAUUGCUAGAAACUAUAUAAAAAGAGAUUAAAUAGAUUAGAUAUAGUACUAUCUAUACUAUAUACAGGGAUAUACAAAAUAUAUAUCUGCUAUGUACAUCUAUUGCACUAUAGAACAACUCUUUUUUCCUGAUUUGUGGCUGUGGGAACCAGUGAAGCAGCAUCCAUAGCCUUGGAUUUAAUCCCGCCUUCUGUCUAUGACAUCACACUGGCAUAUUAUGUGCACGUUGUCACUGACAGCUUCAGAGACUUUGUGUACGUGUCAGUUGACAAAUUACUGGACUGGAGAGAAGUAAAGGCUUAGGGUGACCUGGCAGCAGGGGGAACCAAACCUUUCCGUUCUGAGUGCUUAGGUCUUACCUCAUUGACCUUCUCUGAUCCUGAAUUCUGCUUCCAAGCAUCCAUUCCAGGUUUCCUUCCAUCGUUAAGUAGCAAGCAUAGUUCUGUAAUCCAAUGACAAACAGUCUUGGCUCAUUUCUUGGCAAAUUAAUAUCCACCAUAAUUAUAUCUUGGCACAUUAAUUUUUAUGGCUAAUGGUAAUCUGCAUCUUAAACAGAUAUGGCCUUUUUCAGCAAACAGUUGAGGCAGAUCUAAAUUGUCCACUUCUUCUAAAUUAGAUGUGUUACAAGGAUUAUAUUUUUUCUGAUAGUAAUCAUUCUUCAACAUCUUUCUGCCCCUUUUUGUGGAUUAAUUUAAUUGUGUUGCAGCAGGUUUUGUGGGCUGUGCUAGUCAAUUGGGUGCAGGACUGCGUUGAGGUGGCUUUCUAUAGGAAACCUUUCUGCUUGUAGUUCACAGUCUUCCUCCAGGGGGAGCUGCUGCUAAGAAACCCAGCUAUGCAUCUCCAGGAUUAUGACACGCCCACUGUCACAUUGCAUGGACCAGUGUUUUUAGGAGCAAAACUCAUUUUCAACUAGAACUAGAAGACGUUUUAAAAGAAAAAUAUCACGAGGCUGGACAUUUGCUAUGUAAACCUACGUAUAUCAAAGAAAUAAAUCAAAAGAGUAAACAAAUAGACAAUUUGAGAGGCACACUUAUGUAACCUGUAAAUAAAAUUAACGUGCCCUUGUGAUGCAAUAGCUAGAUUUUCUCUCAAGUAUGUGGCGGUUCAGAUGGUUAUAUAAGGGAGAGAGUUCAAACUGCAGGCCAGGAACCUGCUUGAAGACAUAAGUCAGAAAAAGGCCUUCACAUGUGGAGGGAAAUGUUGCUCUUAGCUAUCAACCAUUUGAGUUCAGUCACUUACAUUUCUUUUCAAACAGUUUGGUUGAUGAUGUCAUAGUUAUCUUUAAUAUAGAUUUUAAUGAUAUUCUGUUUAUUAAACAAAGCAGAUCAUCCAAGCUGCAGUAUUGCCAUUUUUUCCCACGCGUGUAAAACUGACUCCUUUUCCCUGAAUGAAAAUGGAAACUUGGCAAACUGCAAAUAGUUGGAAGGGUGUCACAUAUGUGGGUGUCUGCAUGGCCAUUAUGCUCUUUGGUGUAGAGCAUUUGAAAAAUGAAAAACAUGCAGCAUAAGACAUUCCUUUUCCCCAGUGGCACAAGCAUUAUUAAUUAUAAUUCGUGCAAUAUUUAAAAUGUCGUUCAUAUUGAAGUAACAUGACAAAAAAUAUGUGGUCAUAUUGAUCUGCAGGUCCUUUAAACUGGUUUUCAGAUGAAUUUAUUUUAGAAUGAGAGGAGCUGGCAAAGCUGAACGGAGUAACAGGAGUGUUAAAAGAUAUAUAAUAUUUCCAUAUUGUCCUCUAAAAACAUCCUUUAAAAUGAUCUGCAAUUAUUUAAUUUUUGGGUCAAAUAUAUAAAAAUCAUAGAGAAAAUAACUGGCAAUAUUUGAUGCUGGAGCCCUGCGAUGGCAGCUUGGUGGCUCAGUGGGCAGUGUGACUGCCUCACACCUCCAGGGCUGUGGCUCUGGAUCCUGCCAGUUGGUCCACAUUUUUGCUCCCUCCGAGGUCCUGGUAGAGAAUACCAUGUUUGUCUUAAUGGGUAUAAUUUAAAUUAUUCUCCAUUUUUAAGUCCAAAAAAUAACCCAUGGACACAUCAUGCUUUAAAAUAAAUUAAUGCAGGAUUUUGAACAUUACUGUGGGGGCGUUGAUGUGUUUUUAUGUGCUGAUGUGUGUGAUGACAAUGGCUGAGUUAUAAGGAGCUUAACUGAAGGAGCCACACGUCAUUCAAAGAUGUCUGUAAGUAUUUAGUACUGAUGGCAGAACUGAGGUUCUAAAAGUCAAGGUCUCAACCCAUUUAAACCCCUAUUAGUCACUUUCCAUUUUAACCUAAUGGGAAGCAGUGAAGCAUCCAACAGGAAGCUGGUUCAAGUAGCCAGAAUUGAGAAGCUCAUUUCUCCCGUUGUUGGUAUUUAGACCCUGUUUCACUUUAUUUUUGCUCACAGAUAGGAUGGAUGGAUCCACCGUGGGCAUUAGCUUAGAGGCAGAGUCACCGCCAGGAAGUUGUACAGCUGCUCCGCUGUCUUAAGAUGCGAGCGAUUUCUGCAUGACAGUCGUGGUGACCUUUGACCUCCGUCCCAGCUGCCCAGGAAAUGUGGCAUGUGCAUCCGGUUGAAAGGGCUGCUGUGGCACGUCUCAGAGGAGGAGGGUUGAUGGAUUAUCUACACGGGCAUGUUGGAGGGAGGGAAGGCUAACUGUGAUGUGCAGUUUUGCGUGCAUUUGUGUACAUGUGUGUGAAUGAGAGAUUUAAGGAAAGUGGUGUGCUGACAUCUUUGCACAGCAUCUACCAGUUUUACCCCAAGUAAGAACCUUUCACUGACACAUGUUGACUGUCUCCCAUCUUCAGGGGCAGCCUGUUUGAAGAGUGGAUGAUUUUGCAGGAAGUCUUGGAGCUAUUUGGUGUGACAAGUAAGGUGACCAACUAAUCCAUGUGAGGAGCGACACUAUGAGCUACUUCAGGUUUUACAAACUACUUUAAAACUGAAAGGCUCCUGUGUUUGGUUAAUUAGUUCAGUUCUUUGUACUUUUACUGGUUUGUUUCCUUGAC